GGAUGAGCCCGCGGCCUAUCAGCUAGUUGGUGAGGUAACGGCUCACCAAGGCUAUGACGGGUAGCUGGUCUGAGAGGACGACCAGCCACACGGGAACUGAGACACGGUCCCGACUCCUACGGGAGGCAGCAGUGGGGAAUUUUCCGCAAUGGGCGAAAGCCUGACGGAGUGACGCCGCGUGGGGGACGAAGGCCUUCGGGUUGUAAACCCCUGUCAGAGGGAAAGAAGGGUGUCGGCGCGAUAACCGCCGGCACUUGACGGUACCUUCAGAGGAAGCCCCGGCCAACUACGUGCCAGCAGCCGCGGCCGA
rnacentral:rRNA from 1 species